rnacentral:rRNA from 1 species
UCCAGACUCCUACGGGAGGCAGCAGUGGGGAAUAUUGCACAAUGGGGGAAACCCUGAUGCAGCGACGCCGCGUGAGCGAUGAAGUAUUUCGGUAUGUAAAGCUCUAUCAGCAGGGAAGAAAAUGACGGUACCUGACUAAGAAGCCCCGGCUAACUACGUGCCAGCAGCCGCGGUAAUACGUAGGGGGCAAGCGUUAUCCGGAUUUACUGGGUGUAAAGGGAGCGUAGACGGCAAUGCAAGCCAGAUGUGAAAGCCCGGGGCUCAACCCCGGGACUGCAUUUGAAACUGUCAGUCUUGAGUACCGGAGAGGUCAUCGGAAUUCCUUGUGUAGCGGUGAAAUGCGUAGAUAUAAGGAAGAACACCAGUGGCGAAGGCGGAUGACUGGACGGCAACUGACGGUGAGGCGCGAAAGCGUGGGGAGCAAACAGGAUUAGAUACCCCCGUA